UGAUGACAGUUUUUGCAGCCUCCC
rnacentral:piRNA from 1 species